CGAAUGCCGCGCAAUACAACAUGGGAGUCAGUGUACGAGGGAUAAGCUUCGUGCGCGAGAGGCAAACAUGCCAGACCAGCAGCUAAGGUGCCCAAAUACCGUUCAGUGGAAAGGAUGUGGAGAUACUUAGACAAUGAGGAUGUUGGCUUAGAGGCAGCCAUCAUUUAAACAGUGCGUAAUAGCUGACUCAUCGAGUGUUUCUGCGCCGAAAAUGAUUGGCGAUAAGCGGUAUACCGAAGCUCUGGAUUUCACGCGAAUUCGUUUGCGUGGAGUGGUAGGGGAGCGUCGUCAGGACGUAGAAGCGGGAGCGUAAGCAACCGUCGAGACCUGACGAGUGAGAAUGCAGACAUGAGUAGCGAUAAGCCAGGUUAGACUCCUGGCCGCCGUAAACCCAAGGUUUCCUGUGCAAGGUUCGUCCUCACAGGGUUAGUCGGGACCUAAGUCGAGGCCGAUGGGCGUAGACGAUGGACAGCAGGUUUAAUAUUCCUGCACCGCCGAAAUUUAAACCGGGAAGACGCUUCUGUAGAGACAAGCAAGGCACUGAUUGUCCUUGUCCCGCAAGGGGACGUUGAGGCCACGGCCAAGACGGAUUUGUUGACACAGGAGCCAAGAAAAUCCCCGGUGCAUACUAAGGCGCCCGUACCGUAAACCGACACAGUUGGGUGGGUAGAGUAUACCCAGGCGCGUGAGUGAAACCUCGUUAAGGAACUCGGCAAUCUAGCCCCGUAACUUCGGAAGAAGGGGUGCCAGUCGCAAGACUGGCCGCAGUGAAAGGGGUCAACCGACUGUUUAACAAAAACACAGCACUCUGCUAACUCGUAAGAGAACGUAUAGGGUGUGACACGUGACCAAUGCGGAAAGAUUACGGUAAGAGGUUAGCGCAAGCGAAGCUUCGAGCCCAAGUCCCCGUGAAUGUCGGCCGUAACCAUAACGGUCCUAAGGUAGCGAAAUUCCUUGUCGGGUAAGUUCCGACCUGCACGAAUCGUGUAACGAGUUGACCGCUGUCUCAACGAGGAGCUCAGCUAAGUUGUAGUGGCGGUGAAGAUGCCGCCUACCCGCAGCAGGACGGAAAGACCCUAUGCACCUUUACUGUACGCUGUUACUGUGUUUUCGAUUUUAAUGCUUAGCGUAAGUGGUAGACUUUGAUUUCGCUCUUUCGGGGGCGAAUGAGUCGUCAAUGAAACACCACCCUUUGAAAUUGGAAACUCUAACCUCUCGCCAUCAUCUGGCAGAGGGACACUGGCAGCCGGUCAGUUUUACUGGGGCGGUAUCCUCCCAAAGAGUAACGGAGGAGUACGAAGGUUGGCUCAACCUGGUUGGUAAUCAGGUGACGAGUAUAUGGAUAUAAGCCAGCCUAACUGUGAGACU
rnacentral:rRNA from 1 species